rnacentral:rRNA from 1 species
UGGGGAAUAUUGCACAAUGGGGGAAACCCUGAUGCAGCAACGCCGCGUGAGUGAAGAAGUAUUUCGGUAUGUAAAGCUCUAUCAGCAGGGAAGAUAAUGACGGUACCUGACUAAGAAGCUCCGGCUAAAUACGUGCCAGCAGCCGCGGUAAUACGUAUGGAGCAAGCGUUAUCCGGAUUUACUGGGUGUAAAGGGUGCGUAGGUGGCAGUGCAAGUCAGAUGUGAAAGGCCGGGGCUCAACCCCGGAGCUGCAUUUGAAACUGCUCGGCUAGAGUACAGGAGAGGCAGGCGGAAUUCCUAGUGUAGCGGUGAAAUGCGUAGAUAUUAGGAGGAACACCAGUGGCGAAGGCGGCCUGCUGGACUGUUACUGACACUGAGGCACGAAAGCGUGGGGAGCAAACAGGAUUAGAUACCCUGGUAGU